GUCGAGGCGCAGAAGAAGACGUGGUGCGUGGCCAAGCCCUCCGCCUCCAACGACAUCCUGUCUCUGAACCUCAACUACGCGUGCUCUCAGGUGAGCUGCGCCGUCAUCCAGAAGGGCGGGCCCUGCUACUACCCGGACAACCUCGUGUCGCGCGCUGCCGUCGCCAUGAACCUCUACUACGCCGCCAAUGGCAGGCACCCCUGGAACUGCUACUUCAACAACUCGGCACUCGUCGUGCAGUCCGAUCCCAGCUAUGGAUCCUGCACCUACUACUGACCUGCUGCAUGGAAUGGAAUGGAAUGGAG
rnacentral:lncRNA from 1 species